rnacentral:rRNA from 1 species
CCUACGGGGGGCUGCAGUGGGGAAUAUUGCACAAUGGGCGCAAGCCUGAUGCAGCCAUGCCGCGUGUGUGAAGAAGGCCUUCGGGUUGUAAAGCACUUUCAGCGGGGAGGAAGGCGUUAAGGUUAAUAACCUUGUCGAUUGACGUUACCCGCAGAAGAAGCACCGGCUAACUCCGUGCCAGCAGCCGCGGUAAUACGGAGGGUGCAAGCGUUAAUCGGAAUUACUGGGCGUAAAGCGCACGCAGGCGGUCUGUCAAGUCGGAUGUGAAAUCCCCGGGCUCAACCUGGGAACUGCAUUCGAAACUGGCAGGCUAGAGUCUUGUAGAGGGGGGUAGAAUUCCAGGUGUAGCGGUGAAAUGCGUAGAGAUCUGGAGGAAUACCAGUGGCGAAGGCGGCCCCCUGGACAAAGACUGACGCUCAGGUGCGAAAGCGUGGGGAGCAAACAGGAUUAGAUACCCUAGUAGUC